GGGUAGAACCAACUCCCAUGGUGUGACGGGCCUUGUACACACCGCCCGUCACACCAUGGGAGUUGGUUCUACCCGAAGACGGUCCGCUAACCGCAAGGAGGCAGCCGGCCACGGUAGGGUCAGCGACUGGGGUGAAGUCGUAACAAGGUAGCCGUAGGGGAACCUGCGGCUG
rnacentral:ncRNA from 1 species